AAUUUGCUGCUGUUGCCAAGGAGCUAAACUGUAAGAAUCCUCUGUAUUUCUACCUUCCAAAGGAUUUGUCCGCAGCUGCUCUGUAAGCCACAUCUGAGUCCUUACGGAAGGCUGAAUGGGAACUCCACCUACUGCCUGUUGACCAAGCAUUAAAUAUUUUGGAGGUUCAAAAGCCUCUGAGCUUGUCAUAAUGGGCUUGCUUUCAGACCUCAAAAUCCCAGUACACCCUGAAACUAUGAUGCAGACAUUCAGAGGCAGCA
rnacentral:lncRNA from 1 species